CACGUAGGCACCAAGCGUUGUCCGGAUUUAUUGAGCGUAAAGAGCUCGUAGGCGGUUCAGUAAGUCGGGUGUGAAAACUUUGGGCUUAACCCAAAGCGUGCAUCCGAUACUGCUGUGACUUGAGUUCGGUAGGGGAGUGGGGAAUUCCUAGUGUAGCGGUGAAAUGCGCAGAUAUUAGGAGGAACACCGGUGGCGAAGGCGGAUCUCUGGGCCUUACCUGACGCUCAGGUGCGAAAGCUAGGGGAGCGAACAGG
rnacentral:rRNA from 1 species